rnacentral:rRNA from 1 species
UGGGGAAUAUUGGACAAUGGGCGAAAGCCUGAUCCAGCCAUGCCGCGUGUGUGAAGAAGGCCCUCGGGUUGUAAAGCACUUUCAGCGAGGAAGAACGCCUAGGGGUUAAUACCCCCUAGGAAAGACAUCACCCGCAGAAGAAGCACCGGCUAACUCCGUGCCAGCAGCCGCGGUAAUACGGAGGGUGCAAGCGUUAAUCGGAAUUACUGGGCGUAAAGCGCGCGUAGGUGGCUUGAUAAGCCGGUUGUGAAAGCCCCGGGCUCAACCUGGGAACGGCAUCCGGAACUGUCAAGCUAGAGUGCAGGAGAGGAAGGUAGAAUUCCCGGUGUAGCGGUGAAAUGCGUAGAGAUCGGGAGGAAUACCAGUGGCGAAGGCGGCCUUCUGGACUGACACUGACACUGAGGUGCGAAAGCGUGGGUAGCAAACA